rnacentral:rRNA from 1 species
CUGAUCCAGCCAUGCCGCGUGUGUGAAGAAGGUCUUCGGAUAGUAAAGCACUUUCAGUUGGGAGGAAGGGCAGUAAGUUAAUACCUUGCUGUUUUGACGUUACCGACAGAAUAAGCACCGGCUUACUCCGUGCCAGCAGCC